GACAGAGGCCUCGAGCGUUAGGCGGAAUCACUGGGCUUAAAGCGUGUGUAGGCGGAUCCGUAAGUACCUUGUGAAAUCCCACGGCUCAACCGUGGAACGGCUGGGUAUACUGCGGGUCUUGAGCCACUUAGGGGCAACCGGAACAAAUGGUGGAGCGGUGAAAUGCGUAGAUAUCAUUUGGAACGCCAAUGGUGAAAACAGGUAGCUGGGAGUGUGCUGACGCUGAGACACGAAAGCCAGGGGAGCAAACGGG
rnacentral:rRNA from 1 species